rnacentral:rRNA from 1 species
CAGCAGCCGCGGUAAUACGUAGGGUGCGAGCGUUAAUCGGAAUUACUGGGCGUAAAGCGUGCGCAGGCGGUUGUGUAAGACAGGUGUGAAAUCCCCGGGCUUAACCUGGGAACUGCGCUUGUGACUGCACAGCUAGAGUAUGGCAGAGGGGGGUGGAAUUCCACGUGUAGCAGUGAAAUGCGUAGAGAUAUGGAGGAACACCGAUGGCGAAGGCAGCCCCCUGGGCCAAUACUGACGCUCAUGCACGAAAGCGUGGGGAGCAAACAGGAUUAGAUACCCGCGUAGUCCCUGUCUCUUAUAC